rnacentral:rRNA from 1 species
ACGGAAGGCAGCAGUAAGGAAUCUUGCACAAUGGGGGAAACCCUGAUGCAGCAACGCCGCGUGAUUGAUGAAGGCCUUCGGGUUGUAAAAAUCUGAUCUAAGGGAAGAAACAAAUGACGGUACCUUAGGAGAAAGCCCCGGCUAACUACGUGCCAGCAGCCGCGGUAAUACGUAGGGGGCAAGCGUUAUCCGGAAUUAUUGGGCGUAAAGGGUGCGUAGGUGGUUACCUAAGCGCAAGGUUUAAUCUUGAGGCUUAACCUCAUUCUGCCUUGCGAACUGGGCUACUUGAGUGCAGGAGGGGAAAGCGGAAUUCCUAGUGUAGCGGUGAAAUGCGUAGAUAUUAGGAAGAACACCGGUGGCGAAGGCGGCUUUCUGGACUGUAACUGACACUGAGGCACGAAAGCGUGGGGAGCAAACAGGAUUAGAUACCCUGGUA